rnacentral:rRNA from 1 species
CGAACGGGUGAGUAACAUAUCGGAACGUACCGGGUANCGGGGGAUAACUGAUCGAAAGAUCAGCUAAUACCGCAUACGUCUUGAGAGGGAAAGCAGGGGACCUUCGGGCCUUGCGCUAUCCGAGCGGCCGAUAUCUGAUUAGCUGGUUGGCGGGGUAAAGGCCCACCAAGGCGACGAUCAGUAGCGGGUCUGAGAGGAUGAUCCGCCACACUGGGACUGAGACACGGCCCAGACUCCUACGGGAGGCAGCAGCU